GACGAACGCUGGCGGCGUGCCUAAUACAUGCAAGUAGAACGCUGAAGGAGGAGCUUGCUUCUCUGGAUGAGUUGCGAACGGGUGAGUAACGCGUAGGUAACCUGCCUGGUAGCGGGGGAUAACUAUUGGAAACGAUAGCUAAUACCGCAUAAGAGUAGAUGUUGCAUGACAUUUGCUUAAAAGGUGCAAUUGCAUCACUACCAGAUGGACCUGCGUUGUAUUAGCUAGUUGGUGGGGUAACGGCUCACCAAGGCGACGAUACAUAGCCGACCUGAGAGGGUGGUCGGCCACACUGGGACUGGGACACGGCCCAGACUCCUACGGGAGGCAGCAGUAGGGAAUCUUCGGCAAUGGACGGAAGUCUGACCGAGCAACGCCGCGUGAGUGAAGAAGGGUGUCGGAUCGUAAAGCUCUGUUGUAAGAGAAGAACGAGUGUGAGAGUGGAAAGUUCACACUGUGACGGUAUCUUACCAGAAAGGGACGGCUAACUACGUG
rnacentral:rRNA from 1 species